CUUGGUCAUUUAGAGGAAGUAAAAGUCGUAACAAGGUUUCCGUAGGUGAACCUGCGGAAGGAUCAUUAGUGAAUCUUCAAAAGUCGGCUCAUUGGAUUGUGCUGGUGGAGACACAUGUGCACGUCUUGUGAGUCGCAAACCCACACACCUGUGCAUCUAUGACUCUGAGUGCCGCUUUGCAUGGCCCUUGAUUGGGCCUGGCACUCGAGUACUUUCACACACUCUUGAAUGUAAUGGAAUGUCUUGUUGUGCAUAACGCACAAAAACGAAACAACCUUCAACAACGGAUCUCUUGGCUCUCGCAUCGAUGAAGAACGCAGCGAAAUGCGAUAAGUAAUGUGAAUUGCAGAAUUCAGUGAAUCAUCGAAUCUUUGAACGCACCUUGCACCCUUUGGUAUUCCGAAGGGUACACCCGUUUGAGUGUCAUUGUAAUCUCACUACCAUCGACUUUUGUCUUUUGGUAUGUGGACUUGGAUGCUGUCGUGGAGAAUUCUACGGCUCGUCUGAAAUGCCUGAGUGUACCCCGCUUUGCGGCGUAUUCGGUGUGAUAAAUCUUCGCCGGAGUUGAUCCUUUUGGGUCGCGUUUGUAAUGGUGUGGCUCUAUGCUUCCAACCGUCUGUUUUAUGAGACAACCUCUGACAAUUUGACCUCAAAUCGGGUGGGACUACCCGCUGAACUUAAGCAUAUCAAUAAGCGGAGGA
rnacentral:rRNA from 1 species